rnacentral:lncRNA from 1 species
GAAGGACAGAAGUCAUAGUUUGAAGAGGGAAAGAAAUACAGUGAAGUCUGAGCAGCCACUUACGGUACCACAACAAGUCCUGUUCUGAGAACGGUGGACCUCAAAAAACAAGGCUUUUCUCAACCUGACCUUCCCAGCUCAGAGGUGCUCGAAAGGAAUAAAAGUGUCGCAGGCAGAGCAGUGAUCAUCACUGUUUGUGAGGAUACAGCUAGGUGAGUAUUAACAGAAUAGAAUGCAUGAGAGC